rnacentral:rRNA from 1 species
AACGAACGCUGGCGGCAUGCCUAACACAUGCAAGUCGAACGAGACCUUCGGGUCUUGUGGCGCACGGGGGCGUAACGCGUGGGAACCUUCCCAUAUGGUCGGCAUAACUCCCCGAAAGGGGUGCUAACACCGGACAAUGGCUUCUGACCAAAGAUUUAUCGCCUUUGGAUGGGCCCGCGUUGGAUUAGCUUGUUGGGAGGGUAAAAGCAUACCAAGGCGACGAUUCAUAGCUGGGCAGAGAGGAUGAUCAGCCACACUGGGACUGAGACACGGCCCAGACUCCUACGGGAGGCAGCAGUGGGGAAUAGUGGACAGUGGGCGAAAGCCUGAUCCAGCAAUGCCGCGUGAGUGAUGAAGGCCUUAGGGUUGUAAAGCUCUUUUAACCGGGAUGAUAAUGACAGUACCGGGAGAAUAAGCUCCGGCUAACUCCGUG